rnacentral:lncRNA from 1 species
UGAUAGUGGUCGAUUGUAACCUGUAGAACAUUGUAUUCCCUUUUCAUUCCAUAGUGAAGUUCUCUCCUCCCUCGCCCGUGGUUUUUUCCUGCAAAGGAUUUUCCACGUAAAUCUGUGUCUGUUUAUUUUCUGCUUGUGGUUUGAUUGUUUUUUGUGUUCGUCAUUUCGUUUCCGUUUGUGCGUUUGUCGUAACAAACUGGUAUCAGAGCCGGAGUGUUCGUUUGGGUGUUUAAGACGUCGACGAAUUUGAGAUCGGGAAGUUUGAUCG